GGGGCCGUUGCCUAGCCAGGCAAGGCGUCGGGCUCCAGACCCGAAGAUCGGGGGUUCGAAUCCCUCCGGCCCCA
rnacentral:tRNA from 1 species